UCAAGUUAUUAAGGGUGCAGGGCGGAUGCCUUGGCACUAGGAGCCGAUGAAGGACGUGAUAAGCUGCGAUAAGCUUCGGGGAGUUGCACGUAAACUUUGAUCCGAAGAUUUCCGAAUGAGGAAACUCACUUAGAGUAAUGUCUAAGUAUCAUUAAGUGAAUACAUAGCUUAAUGAGGGGAACUCAGGGAACUGAAACAUCUAAGUACCUGAAGGAAGAGAAAGAAAUUCGAUUCCGUAAGUAGCGGCGAGCGAACGCGGAUUAGCCCAAACCAAUAAAGUUUUCUUUAUUGGGGUUGCGGACAUAUCAUAACGAAGAGGUAUCGUAAUUGAAGAGGUUUGGAAAGACCUACCACAGAAGGUAAUAGUCCUGUAUGUUAAACGAGAAGACUUUAGAUAUGAUCCAGAGUACCACGGGACACGUGAAACCCUGUGGGAAGCAGGAGGGACCACCCUCCAAGGCUAAAUACUACCUAGUGACCGAUAGCGUAUAGUACCGUGAGGGAAAGGUGAAAAGAACCCCGGGAGGGGAGUGAAAUAGAACCUGAAACCCUGCACUUACAAGCUGUGGAAGCACAUUUCUUGUGUGACCGCGUACUUUUUGUAGAACGGGCCAACGAGUUACGUUAAGUAGCAAGGUUAAGCACUUAAGGUGNNNNNGGAGCCGUAGCGAAAGCGAGUUUUAACUGAGCGUUCAGUUACUUGACGUAGACCCGAAACCGGGCGACCUACCCAUGAGCAGGAUGAAGCGAAAGUAAAAUUUCGUGGAGGUCCGAACCCACGAGCGUUGAAAAGCUCGGGGAUGACUUGUGGGUAGCGGUGAAAUUCCAAUCGAGCCCGGAGAUAGCUGGUUCUCCCCGAAAUAGCUUUAGGGCUAGCCUCAAGGUGAGAGAUACGGAGGUAGAGCACUGAAUGUCCUAGGGGGUAUUGCACCUACCGAAGACUAUCAAACUCCGAAUGCCGUCAUCUUAUACUUGGGAGUCAGACUGUGGGUGAUAAGAUUCAUAGUCGAAAGGGCAACAGCCCAGAUCGUCAGCUAAGGUCCCUAAAUGUAAGUUAAGUGGUAAAGGAUGUGGGAUUGCACAGACAACCAGGAUGUUGGCUUAGAAGCAGCCACUCAUUCAAAGAGUGCGUAAUAGCUCACUGGUCGAGUGAUCCUGCGCCGAAGAUUUCCGGGGCUAAAACUUACUACCGAAGCUACGGCAUCAGUAAUGAUGGGUAGGGGAGCUUCCCAUACGGGUUGAAGCAUGACCGUAAGGACAUGUGGACAGUAUGGGAGUGAGAAUGUUGGCAUGAGUAGCGAGAUGUGGGUGAGAAUCCCACAGGCCGUAAACCCAAGGUUUCCAGGGGAAGGUUCGUCCGCCCUGGGUUAGUCGGGACCUAAGCUGAGGCCGAAAGGCGUAGGUGAUGGACAACAGGUUGAUAUUCCUGUACUACCGAUAACCGUUUGAGAGAAGGGAUGACACAGUAGGAUAAGCUAAGCACACUGUUGGUUAUGUGUGCCCAAGCAUUGAGGCAGUCAAAGUAGGCAAAUCCGCUUUGAUAAUGCUGGGAUGUGAUGGGGAGCGAAAUUUAGUAGCGAAGUAGCUGAUUUCACACUGUCAAGAAAAGUCUCUAUCGAGGUUAAAGGUACCCGUACCGCAAACCGACACAGGUGGGUGAGGAGAGUAUCCUAAGGCCAGCGAGAGAACUGUUGUUAAGGAACUCGGCAAAAUGACCCCGUAACUUAGGGAUAAGGGGUGCCACCAUCAGGUGGCCGCAGAGAAUAGGCCCAAGCGACUGUUUACCAAAAACAUAGGUUUCUGCUAAGUCGCAAGACGAUGUAUAGGAGCUGACGCCUGCCCGGUGCUGGAAGGUUAAGGGGAUCUGUUAGAGNGUGAAAUUCCAAUCGAGCCCGGAGAUAGCUGGUUCUCCCCGAAAUAGCUUUAGGGCUAGCCUCAAGGUGAGAGAUACGGAGGUAGAGCACUGAAUGUCCUAGGGGGUAUUGCACCUACCGAAGACUAUCAAACUCCGAAUGCCGUCAUCUUAUACUUGGGAGUCAGACUGUGGGUGAUAAGAUUCAUAGUCGAAAGGGCAACAGCCCAGAUCGUCAGCUAAGGUCCCUAAAUGUAAGUUAAGUGGUAAAGGAUGUGGGAUUGCACAGACAACCAGGAUGUUGGCUUAGAAGCAGCCACUCAUUCAAAGAGUGCGUAAUAGCUCACUGGUCGAGUGAUCCUGCGCCGAAGAUUUCCGGGGCUAAAACUUACUACCGAAGCUACGGCAUCAGUAAUGAUGGGUAGGGGAGCUUCCCAUACGGGUUGAAGCAUGACCGUAAGGACAUGUGGACAGUAUGGGAGUGAGAAUGUUGGCAUGAGUAGCGAGAUGUGGGUGAGAAUCCCACAGGCCGUAAACCCAAGGUUUCCAGGGGAAGGUUCGUCCGCCCUGGGUUAGUCGGGACCUAAGCUGAGGCCGAAAGGCGUAGGUGAUGGGCAACAGGUUGAUAUUCCUGUACUACCGAUAACCGUUUGAGAGAAGGGAUGACACAGUAGGAUAAGCUAAGCACACUGUUGGUUAUGUGUGCCCAAGCAUUGAGGCAGUCAAAGUAGGCAAAUCCGCUUUGAUAAUGCUGGGAUGUGAUGGGGAGCGAAAUUUAGUAGCGAAGUAGCUGAUUUCACACUGUCAAGAAAAGUCUCUAUCGAGGUUAAAGGUACCCGUACCGCAAACCGACACAGGUGGGUGAGGAGAGUAUCCUAAGGCCAGCGAGAGAACUGUUGUUAAGGAACUCGGCAAAAUGACCCCGUAACUUAGGGAUAAGGGGUGCCACCAUUAGGUGGCCGCAGAGAAUAGGCCCAAGCGACUGUUUACCAAAAACAUAGGUUUCUGCUAAGUCGCAAGACGAUGUAUAGGAGCUGACGCCUGCCCGGUGCUGGAAGGUUAAGGGGAUCUGUUAGAGNNNNNNNNNNNNNNNNNNNNNNNNNNNNNNNAAUCGAAGCAGUGAACUUAAGCCCCAGUAAACGGCGGCCGUAACUAUAACGGUCCUAAGGUAGCGAAAUUCCUUGUCGGGUAAGUUCCGACCCGCACGAAAGGCGUAACGAUUUGGGCACUGUCUCAACAACAGACUCGGUGAAAUUGUAAUUCCGGUGAAGAUGCCGGAUACCUGCGACAGGACGGAAAGACCCCAUGGAGCUUUACUGUAGCUUGACAUUGGGUCUUGGUACUACAUGUACAGGAUAGGUGGGAGGCUUUGAAACCAGGACGCCAGUUUUGGCGGAGCCAUCCUUGGGAUACCACCCUUGUAGUACUGGGACUCUAACCAUAGGCCAUGAAUCUGGUCUUGGGACACUGUCAGGUGGGCAGUUUGACUGGGGCGGUCGCCUCCCAAAAGGUAACGGAGGCGCUCAAAGGUUCUCUCAGUACGGUCGGAAAUCGUACGUAGAGUGUAAAGGCAAAAGAGAGCUUGAUUGCAAGACAUACAGGUCGAGCAAGGAUGAAAAUCGGACUUAGUGAUCCGGUGGUUCUGCGUGGAAGGGCCAUCGCUCAACGGAUAAAAGCUACCCUGGGGAUAACAGGCUUAUCUCCCCCAAGAGUCCACAUCGACGGGGAGGUUUGGCACCUCGAUGUCGGCUCAUCACAUCCUGGGGCUGUAGUAGGUCCCAAGGGUUGGGCUGUUCGCCCAUUAAAGUGGUACGCGAGCUGGGUUCAGAACGUCGUGAGACAGUUCGGUCCCUAUCCGUCGCAGGCGUAGGAAAUUUGAGAAGACCUGUCCUUAGUACGAGAGGACCGGGAUGGACGUACCUCUGGUGUACCAGUUGUCCUGCCAAGGGCAUGGCUGGGUAGCUAUGUGCGGAAUGGAUAAGCGCUGAAAGCAUCUAAGCGCGAAGCCAACUUCAAGAUAAGAUUUCCCACCGCAAGGGUAAGACCCCAGAAAGACUAUCUGGUUGAUAGGUCGAAGGUGUAAGUGCAGCAAUGUAUUUAGCUUAUCGAUACUAAUAGGUCGAGGACUUGACCAA
rnacentral:rRNA from 1 species